rnacentral:rRNA from 1 species
UACGUAGGGGGCCAGCGUUGUCCGGAUUCAUUGGGCGUAAAGCGCGUGUAGGCGGCCAGGUAGGUCCGAUGUGAAAUCUGGAGGCUCAACCUCCAGCGGUCAUUGGAAACCAUCUGGCUAGAGUCCGGAAGAGGAGAGUGGAAUUCCUGGUGUAGCGGUGAAAUGCGCAGAUAUCAGGAAGAACACCAAUGGCGAAGGCAGCUCCCUGGGACGGUACUGACGCUGAGACGCGAAAGCGUGGGGAGCGAACAGG